UUAUAAUUAGUUUAAUUAAAAUAUAUAGCUUCUAACUAUAUGACCCUUUUAUUCAGGAUUAUAUU
rnacentral:tRNA from 1 species